GCGCUGUGACCCGCAGGGAGACUGACGCGCUGGGACGGGAGAGUGGUCCGCUCUGGUGCGACUUUACUGGAAAGAUGAAACCCGAUGAAACUCCUAUGUUUGACCCAAGUUUGCUCAAAGAAGUGGACUGGAGUCAGAAUACAGCUAUAUUUUCUCCAGCCAUUUCUCCAACACAUCCUGGAGAAGGCUUGGUUUUGAGGCCUCUCUGUACUGCAGACUUAAAUAAAGGUUUUUUUAAGGUAUUGGGUCAGCUGACAGAGACUAGUGUCGUCAGCCCAGAACAGUUCAUGAAAUCUUUUGAGCAUAUGAAGAAGUCUGGAGAUUACUACGUUACAGUUGUGGAAGAUGUGACCCUAGGACAAAUUGUGGCUACAGCAACUCUGAUAAUAGAACAUAAAUUUAUCCAUUCAUGUGCUAAGAGAGGGAGAGAAGAAGAUGUCGUUGUAAGUGAGGAGUGCAGAGGGAAGCAGCUUGGCAAACUGUUAUUAUCAACUCUUACUUUGCUAAGCAUGAAACUGAGCUGUUACAAGAUCACCCUUGAAUGUCUACCACAAAAUGUCGGUUUCUACAAAAAGUUUGACUAUACAGUAUCUGAAGAAAAUUACAUGUGUCGGAGGUUCCUAAAGUAAAAACCACCAUCAAGAGGUUAAUGCUACAAGCCUUAAUUAACUGUUUUAGAGUUCAUUUUUGUUGCUGCAGCCCAGUGAGCUCCCUAACUACUAGACUGAAGUACGCUGUGGUGUGCCAGUGUAGUAACCUGGGAGGAUGCUGGGAAUACAAAUGAUCAUAAAGGGGGAGGAUUUUUAACCAAAGGAAUAUAUUUUCAACUUGAAUCUUUUCUUGCAUUGUAUUUUUCUAAAGUUUGUCUUCAUUUCUUGGUAGUCAAGAGUAUGGGUAGUAAACAUGUCUGCUCUAUGCUGCUCAUUUUUAAAUAUAUAUAUAUAUAUAU